CCGUAUGAUAACAGUCUGAAACAUUCUUUAUAUAAAGAAGACCGAAGCGGAAAGCUAAAGUACUAACAUCACUUUAGUGAAACUGACAGGUAAAGCAAAUGACUGUUUGACGGAACCUUGGAAAGACUAUCUUAGAGAUAGAGCCAAUGAGGCAAUAACCAACUGGCAAAAAGACAGGGAA
rfam:Clostridium sp. ASF356 genomic scaffold acMac-supercont1.1, whole genome shotgun sequence.